UACGUAGGGUGCAAGCGUUAAUCGGAAUUACUGGGCGUAAAGCGGGCGCAGGCGGUGAUGUAAGACAGGGGUGAAAUCCCCGGGCUUAACCUGGGAACUGCAUUUGUGACUGCAUCGCUGGAGUGCGGCAGAGGGGGAUGGAAUUCCGCGUGUAGCAGUGAAAUGCGUAGAUAUGCGGAGGAACACCGAUGGCGAAGGCAAUCCCCUGGGCCUGCACUGACGCUCAUGCACGAAAGCGUGGGGAGCAAACAGG
rnacentral:rRNA from 1 species